UACAGAGGUGGCAAGCGUUGUUCGGAAUUACUGGGCGUAAAGGGCGCGUAGGCGGUUCGUCAAGUCCUGUGUGAAAUCCCCCGGCUCAACUGGGGAACUGCACAGGAAACUAGCGGGCUUGAGUUCGGGAGAGGGAAGCGGAAUUCCGGGUGUAGCGGUGAAAUGCGUAGAUAUCAGGAGGAACACCGGUGGCGAAGGCGGGUCUCUGGGCCGAUACUGACGCUGAGGAGCGAAAGCGUGGGGAGCGAACAGG
rnacentral:rRNA from 1 species